rnacentral:rRNA from 1 species
CAGGCCUAGCACAUGCAAGGUCGUACGGUAACAGGGGGUGCUAUACACCUGCUGACGAGUGGCGCACGGGUGCGCAACGCGUAUAGAACCUACCCUUACAGGGGGAUAGCCCAUGGAAACGUGGAUUAAUACCCCGUAGAGACGAAAGUGGCAUCGCUUCUUGUUUAAAGCUUCGGCGGUACGGGAUGGCUAUGGUCGGGUUAGUUAGUAGGCGAGGUAACGGCUCACCUAGGCAAUGAUGGGAGGGGCCCUGAGAGGGGGAUCCCCCACACUGGUUCUGAUACACGGACCAACUCGCUAGGGAGGGAGGACUGACGAAUAUUGCACAACGCGCGCACGGAGAUGGAGGCAUGGCGGGUGGUUUCCCCACCGCCCUUGGGGCUCGUCAGCCGCCCCCCUA